AGCGAACGCUGGCGGCAGGCUUAACACAUGCAAGUCGAGCGGGCGUAGCAAUACGUCAGCGGCAGACGGGUGAGUAACGCGUGGGAACGUACCUUUUGGUUCGGAACAACACAGGGAAACUUGUGCUAAUACCGGAUAAGCCCUUACGGGGAAAGAUUUAUCGCCGAAAGAUCGGCCCGCGUCUGAUUAGCUAGUUGGUGAGGUAACGGCUCACCAAGGCGACGAUCAGUAGCUGGUCUGAGAGGAUGAUCAGCCACAUUGGGACUGAGACACGGCCCAAACUCCUACGGGAGGCAGCAGUGGGGAAUAUUGGACAAUGGGGGCAACCCUGAUCCAGCCAUGCCGCGUGAGUGAUGAAGGCCCUAGGGUUGUAAAGCUCUUUUGUGCGGGAAGAUAAUGACGGUACCGCAAGAAUAAGCCCCGGCUAACUUCGUGCCAGCCGCCGCCGUAACAC
rnacentral:rRNA from 1 species